ACUAUGGAAAAUUCCACACGUAGAAUCAACGUAUAGAACGUUAACUUAACAAUCAAGGUUUUUUUGGUUUUUUUUUAAAUCUGUACGUUUCAAUCUAAUUAGAUUUAACAAGUAUUGAAUUAAGAAUGUGUUAAUCUGGCACUAAGAUUAGACCCCAGAUGGGAAAAGAGGAAAGAUUGAUCAAGAACAACAUGGAGGCGAACGGAACUCCAAUACGUGAGUCUGACCUGGGGAGAGGUGCAGAAGAAGGCCAAGAACACAGAAAGGAAUGGAAAUCCUUAGCCCCAUGUGCCUUCGGGUGCAUCAGGGAUUGGCAAACAGAAUUGCUGAUGCUGACAUCAAAACAGCAUUCUUCAAUGCUACAAACAUUGAUUGGGGGAAGAAAGUACUGAUGAAGAGAAAAAAAAAAAAAAUGUUUUUAAGAGAGCUCUGCAGUUCUGUUGUUGUUGCCUGGGAGUUUGAUUUUUUAAUUAUUAUAAUAAUAUCACGGAACUUUUUAAAACUGGAUUUAUUAAUACAUUUUUAUUUUGCUAAACAAAAUUUAUUUUUUUGAAUGUUACAUUUACACCAAGCUUUGAUAUAUUUCCUUGUUAAUUUUAUCUGAUUUGUAUAUUUUUUUCUUUUAAAACUUGAAUUAUAACAAAUACAAUUUCUAAUACCUUU
rnacentral:sRNA from 1 species